UACGGAGGGGGCUAGCGUUGUUCGGAAUUACUGGGCGUAAAGCGCACGUAGGCGGAUAUUUAAGUCAGGGGUGAAAUCCCAGAGCUCAACUCUGGAACUGCCUUUGAUACUGGGUAUCUUGAGUAUGGAAGAGGUAAGUGGAAUUGCGAGUGUAGAGGUGAAAUUCGUAGAUAUUCGCAGGAACACCAGUGGCGAAGGCGGCUUACUGGUCCAUUACUGACGCUGAGGUGCGAAAGCGUGGGGAGCAAACAGGG
rnacentral:rRNA from 1 species